CCUACGGGUGGCAGCAGUGAGGAAUAUUGGUCAAUGGGCGCGAGCCUGAACCAGCCAAGUAGCGUGAAGGAUGACUGCCCUACGGGUUGUAAACUUCUUUUAUAAAGGAACAAAGUGAGGCACGUGUGCCUUUUUGUAUGUAAUUUAUGAAUAAGGAUCGGCGAACUCCGUGCCAGCCGCCGCGGUAAUACGGAGGAUCCGAGCGUUAUCCGGAUUUAUUGGGUUUAAAGGGAGCGGAGAUGGGUUGUUAAGUCAGUUGUGAAAGUUUGCGGCUUAACCGUAAAAUUGCAAUUGAUACUGGCAGCCUUGAGUACAGUUGAGGUAGGCGGAAUUCGUGGUGUAGCGGUGAAAUGCUUAGAUAUCACGAAGAACUCCGAUUGCGAAGGCAGCAUACUAACCUGCCACUGACAUUGAUGCUCGAAAGUGUGGGUAUCAAACAGGAUUAGAUACCCUUGUAGUC
rnacentral:rRNA from 1 species